CAGCCGAAACGGUACCCACGCAAGAGGUUACCAACAUCUGUUUCUUUGUUUGCCAAAAGCAUUUCAAGUAUUUUCUGGGGCAUAAUGUGGGCUGCAGUGUGUGUGUGUGUGUGUGUGUGUGUGUGUGUGUGUGUCAGGCACAAUUCAGCGCAUCUAUGAAUUACUCGUUUGUUUGGAGAGGAGGUGGCUGAGGGGCUCCAAAACAGGCCAGGAAAAAUCAGCUUUCGUCCUUAUUCUGUACACUUGCCAGCGCGAACAAAAAAAAAACAAAAAAAUAAAAAGAAAGAAUGAAAGAAAGAAA